UUUAUGGAGAGUUUGAUCCUGGCUCAGAGUGAACGCUGGCGGCGUGCCUAAUACAUGCAAGUCGAACGAUGAAGCUUCUAGCUUGCUAGAGUGCUGAUUAGUGGCGCACGGGUGAGUAACGCAUAGGUCAUGUGCCUCUUAGUUUGGGAUAGCCAUUGGAAACGAUGAUUAAUACCAGAUACUCCCUACGGGGGAAAGAUUUAUCGCUAAGAGAUCAGCCUAUGUCCUAUCAGCUUGUUGGUAAGGUAAUGGCUUACCAAGGCUAUGACGGGUAUCCGGCCUGAGAGGGUGAACGGACACACUGGAACUGAGACACGGUCCAGACUCCUACGGGAGGCAGCAGUAGGGAAUAUUGCUCAAUGGGGGAAACCCUGAAGCAGCAACGCCGCGUGGAGGAUGAAGGUUUUAGGAUUGUAAACUCCUUUUGUUAGAGAAGAUAAUGACGGUAUCUAACGAAUAAGCACCGGCUAACUCCGUGCCAGCAGCCGCGGUAAUACGGAGGGUGCAAGCGUUACUCGGAAUCACUGGGCGUAAAGAGCGCGUAGGCGGGAUAGUCAGUCAGGUGUGAAAUCCUAUGGCUUAACCAUAGAACUGCAUUUGAAACUACUAUUCUAGAGUGUGGGAGAGGUAGGUGGAAUUCUUGGUGUAGGGGUAAAAUCCGUAGAGAUCAAGAGGAAUACUCAUUGCGAAGGCGACCUGCUGGAACAUUACUGACGCUGAUUGCGCGAAAGCGUGGGGAGCAAACAGGAUUAGAUACCCUGGUAGUCCACGCCCUAAACGAUGGAUGCUAGUUGUUGGAGGGCUUAGUCUCUCCAGUAAUGCAGCUAACGCAUUAAGCAUCCCGCCUGGGGAGUACGGUCGCAAGAUUAAAACUCAAAGGAAUAGACGGGGACCCGCACAAGCGGUGGAGCAUGUGGUUUAAUUCGAAGAUACACGAAGAACCUUACCUAGGCUUGACAUUGAGAGAAUCCGCUAGAAAUAGUGGAGUGUCUGGCUUGCUAGACCUUGAAAACAGGUGCUGCACGGCUGUCGUCAGCUCGUGUCGUGAGAUGUUGGGUUAAGUCCCGCAACGAGCGCAACCCCCUUUCUUAGUUGCUAACAGGUCAUGCUGAGAACUCUAAGGAUACUGCCUCCGUAAGGAGGAGGAAGGUGGGGACGACGUCAAGUCAUCAUGGCCCUUACGCCUAGGGCUACACACGUGCUACAAUGGGGUGCACAAAGAGAAGCAAUACUGCGAAGUGGAGCCAAUCUUCAAAACACCUCUCAGUUCGGAUUGUAGGCUGCAACUCGCCUGCAUGAAGCUGGAAUCGCUAGUAAUCGCAAAUCAGCCAUGUUGCGGUGAAUACGUUCCCGGGUCUUGUACUCACCGCCCGUCACACCAUGGGAGUUGUGUUUGCCUUAAGUCAGGAUGCUAAAUUGGCUACUGCCCACGGCACACACAGCGACUGGGGUGAAGUCGUAACAAGGUAACCGUAGGUGAACCUGCGGUUGGAUCACCUCCUUU
rnacentral:rRNA from 2 species